GAAAGCUUUUCAUGUUUUACUGACUGAAGACAAUCAACCCUCUUCACAAUUGAGAACCUGAAGAUUCAAUCUUCUGAGAACAUCAGAGAAAGACUACCCUUGCCAUCCAUACUGCAGAAAAACUUCAGGACCUUGAACCUUGGGUUCAUAAUCUAACAACUCAGAAGUGUCUCUCCACACUCUUGGAACAGUACACCCAUUGGAAACCUUAAGGUGCUGAAAGUUGUGAUACCUUUCCAUACCCAUCAUAAGUCUCACAACUGAUGCUGUCAUAACAACAACAACAAAAAGGUUAACAAGAGAAAAGCGUAACAAUUUUAUUAAAUCAAAUUUUUACAUGAUUUUGGGAGGCUUCAGAAAUAAAGACCCAAAGACCCAGGGAAAAUUAUCCAUUUUUAUGCUUAGAUUCGAUGAAAAAUUGACAGCUGAGUGGAGAUGUGAUUGGACAAAAGGGUAUGAUCUAAUGGUAAUGGACUGAGAAGGAGAUCUAGCCGGACUUGUUUGUUCAGAUUCUUCUUGGCUUCUCUACGUGGCAUUCCUUCCUCCUAGUGUGGGGCAGAGCCCCUCUGAAACGAUAGAAGGAAGAAAGGAGAGAGAGACACCUUUCUAAACUUUUAAGAAAACUUCUUCUUCUAUCUAUAAGCCAGGAGAAGCAUGGAAAUGAUAUGAACUGAUGAAAAAGGAAGAUACUGGAGCUCCUUUAAAGAAUGCUGUCAUGCCAUAAGUGGAAGUACUGUGGUAGAAGAGAGACUAUAAAAUAUUGAUGGACUAUUGACCUGAGGUAGCAAAGGAAGAUAAAAGCAAAUUCUCUGAGUGCACAAAGAAGCUGCCUGUCUCCAUAGUGUGGAAAGAACUUCAAUAUUAAUAUCAAUAAUGAGUUAUCAUUGUCUGAAAUACAUUUUUCUUGUUACCAUAUCAGAAUUGUAUUCAUUUCAGUUUCAGAGAAAAAAAUGUAUUUUUUUAAAUUUCAUAAUUAUGUUUUCUGUAGUGUAAGAACAGUUCACGUGGAGAGGUGGUUCGAAAUAUACAUCUUAUUAUCAUUAAAUCCUAGCCAUUGUGGCUAUCUUCAUAAGACAGUCCAACAGUUGAGCUGUUUGGGAGUUUAUUUGUUUGGUGUCUUGAUUUUAAGUUAUUAAAAAGUUGUACCUGCCCAAAUGUUGUUCAUGCCUGAAAAUAAUGUUCAUUGAACUUAAAUUUUCCCAUUCUAGGCUCCUGCACUUGGCAGCUUUGUGUUGCUAGAAAAAAUCAGAUUGCCAAGAAAAUUGGAGGCAUUACAUAUUUAUGGUUUCCAACUUAAAGUAGAAUCCUAGAGUGCUCAGCAUUCCUUUUCAUGGCAUUGUACCUCAAACAAUAAAAAAGAAAAAAAGAAAGAAAAAAAUAAGCUUAUCAGAAAACAAACAAAAACAUGUGCAUUUGUAUUCACAUUAAUUCUCUUCAUGGAAACCCUUUCUCUACUUCCCUAAUCCACAAAAAGAUUUCUUU